UACAGAGGCCCCAAGCGUUACUGAGAAUCACUGGGUUUAAAGGGUGCGUAGGCGGCGCGUUAAGUCCGUUGUGAAAUCCCUGGGCUCAACCCAGGAAUUGCUUCGGAUACUGGCGUGCUUGAGGCCGGUAGGGGUCACUGGAACUGACGGUGGAGCGGUGAAAUGCGUAGAUAUCGUCAGGAACGCCGAUGGUGAAGACAGGUGACUGGGCCGGAACUGACACUGAGGCACGAAAGCGUGGGGAGCGAACGGG
rnacentral:rRNA from 1 species